rnacentral:rRNA from 1 species
CAGCCGCCGCGGUAAUACGAAGGGGGCUAGCGUUGCUCGGAAUGACUGGGCGUAAAGGGCGCGUAGGCGGCGAUCAAAGUCAGGCGUGAAAUUCCUGGGCUCAACCUGGGGGCUGCGUUUGAUACUUGGUUGCUAGAGUGAGGAAGAGGGUCGUGGAAUUCCCAGUGUAGAGGUGAAAUUCGUAGAUAUUGGGAAGAACACCGGUGGCGAAGGCGGCGACCUGGUCCUUGACUGACGCUGAGGCGCGAAAGCGUGGGGAGCAAACAGGAUUAGAUACCCCAGUAGUCCCUGUCUCUUAUAC